rnacentral:precursor_RNA from 1 species
AAUAGCGUAUAUUAAAGUUGCUGCAGUUAAAAAGCUCGUAGUUGGAUUUCUGGCUUGAGACAUGCGGCCGGCCACGGUUUCGUGUGUUAGUGCUGUAUGUUCUGGCCAUCCUUCCAAUCGCUGUUCGCUGCUCUUCAUUGAGUGGUGCGACAGUAUUGGAUCUUUUACUUUGAAAAAAUUAGAGUGUUUCAAGCAGGCGUUUUGCUAUGAAUACAUUAGCAUGGAAUAAUAAUUUAGGACUUCGGUUCUAUUUUGUUGGUUUCUAGGACUGAAGUAAUGAUUGAUAGGGAUAGUUGGGGGUGCUAGUAUUCAGCGGCCAGAGGUGAAAUUCUCGGAUUCGCUGAAGACUAACUUAUGCGAAAGCAUUCACCAAGGAUAUCUUCUUUAAUCAAGAACGAAAGUUGGGGGAUCGAGGACGAUCAGAUACCGUCGUAGUCUCAACCAUAAACUAUGCCGACUAGGGAUGAGUGAACGUUGAAAUUUAAAAAAACGACUUCAUUCGCACCUUAUGAGAAAUCAAAGUCUUUGGGUUCCGGGGGGAGUAUGGUCGCAAGGCUGAAACUUAAAGGAAUUGACGGAAGGGCACCACCAGGAGUGGAGCCUGCGGCUUAAUUUGACUCAACACGGGAAAACUUACCAGGUCCAGACACAGUAAGGAUUGACAGAUUGAAGAUCUUUCUUGAU